UAUAUAAUUAAUAUACAAUAUAAGAAAAAUCACACGGUAGGCCAUCAAUUAUCCGGCGAUCAAUAUUUCGAUAAUGUAGUAUAUAAAGCGAAAAUUAUAUCCUAAAAGACUUCGCUUUUAUUGAAUGCCUAUGAUGAGCAUUAAGUAGGAAAAAAUGUGAUAGCGUCUAUCAAGAGGUACUUAUAUAUAAUGUAGCGACGAAUUUAUAGGGGUAUAGGGAUGCCACACCCCCACUCAGAAAUUAAGUCUGCAAAAUUUAAUAAACAGCUGAGAAUGGAUUGUAAAAUGUGUAUUUCUGAUAUACUCGAAAAAAUUAAUAACACUAGUAACAGUAUUAUUUUGAAAGAUAAAAACUAUUGUAAAUUGUUUACUGAUAACAUGAUUAUUAAUUACAAUAGAUAUCAUUUACUAUGGCUAAACCAUCUAAAAUUUGGUAACUGGUCAUUAAAAAUCUUCGGGCAAUAGCGGGCGAGAUUUAAAAAACCAAAAUUUCGGUAAUCCGUUAAGAUAAUGGGAGUCAAAAUACUUAGAUUGCGAUUGAUAACUGUUAAAAAUAUUAUAUUGGAUUUCCAAUAAACAGUAAUAUUUGUAUAUCGGAG
rnacentral:lncRNA from 1 species